rnacentral:rRNA from 1 species
GAAGCUGGAAUUGCUAGUAAUGGCAGGUCGGCAUACUGCCGUGAAUACGUUCCCGGGCCUUGUACACACCGCCCGUCACACCAUGAGAGUUGGGAAUACCCGAAGCCUGUGAGCUAACGUUAAGAGGCAGCAGUCGAAGGUAGAAUCAAUGAUUGGGGUGAAGUCGUAACAAGGUAUC